rnacentral:piRNA from 1 species
UAGGCUAUCUAAGAUGAUCAUCUUACCUGC